rnacentral:lncRNA from 1 species
GAUGCCAAUAGGCACAGUGAUGUCUGAGGAAGUGUUAGGGUACAUCCUGUCCAUUUUUAAAAGAUUUAAAAAACAAAAGACAAAAAAAAACAAAAACAAAAACAAAAAAAAUCAAAAAAACCAGGCCAACUCCUCUUUUAUACUACUGUAUUGACUUUUUUUUAAAUAAAAAAAAAAAAGGUCUUUAUUUUUAAAUGCAUUUCCUUUCAUCUGUGCCACAAGGACUGAAUCUUCCGUUUAUAAUGACAUGUGAAGUGUAUGGUUUAUUUUACAAGAGGAGGAGUUGCUGUACAUGUUAAAAUUUUUAAAAGGUUUAUAGUUAACCACCAAAUGCUGAUGAAUGUGUGACCUUUGCCAGAGCUGUCAAGCCAGGACACAAAGGGUCAAGGACCUAGGACAAUAACUCUUAGUCAGUUUAUGUUCGGUUGGUACAACACAUCUCCUGUGCAAACUGUAGUCCAUCAGAAACACCAUACACAUAUGCUAAAGGUACUAAUUUAUCCUCAGAGACCCUGAAGACACCCCCUCCCCCAUGAUUUGUAGAAAUUUGUUUUGUGUGCUGUGAGUGGUUAAUGUAGUCUUGUCCUUGUUAAUAACUUGUCUGUGAAUACUUUUAUUUGUACAGUUUUUAAUUAAUUUAUUUUUGGAGAUCUUUUUCUGGAAGAGUUCAAAGCACACC